GACGAACGCUGGCGGCGUGCCUAAUACAUGCAAGUUGAGCGCUGAAGGUUGGUACUUGUCCCAACUGGAUGAGCAGCGAACGGGUGAGUAACGCGUGGGGAAUCUGCCUUUGAGCGGGGGACAACAUUUGGAAACGAAUGCUAAUACCGCAUAAAAACUUUAAACACAAGUUUUAAGUUUGAAAGAUGCAAUUGCAUCACUCAAAGAUGAUCCCGCGUUGUAUUAGCUAGUUGGUGAGGUAAAGGCUCACCAAGGCGAUGAUACAUAGCCGACCUGAGAGGGUGAUCGGCCACAUUGGGACUGAGACACGGCCCAAACUCCUACGGGAGGCAGCAGGAGGGAAUCUUCGGCAAUGGACGAAAGUCUGACCGAGCAACGCCGCGUGAGUGAAGAAGGGUGUCGGAUCGUAAAACUCUGUUGGUAGAGAAGAACGUUGGUGAGAGUGGAAAGCUCAUCAAGUGACGGUAACUACCCAGAAAGGGACGGCUAACUACGUG
rnacentral:rRNA from 1 species